UCUGCUCCAAAAGCCUUGAAGAGGGCUGCAGUCCAGUCCCCAACUACCCUGAUGUGAACACUGAAGAAGUCUUCCUCGGGAGCUGAGCUCUAGGACUCCAGAGGAAUGUGUCACCACCUGAAGAAUAAUAAAAGGUGGUGUUCCCUCCUGUGAUGAGAAUGGACUGACACAGCAUAGCAAUGGCAUGGAAGACACUGUGGGGAUAAAAGUUCAGAUGCACUGGGUGUAACAGGAAUGCUUAAACAUCCUCAGUGGGAGGAGAUGAACAGAGACAUGAGCAAGUGUAGAUGGCUGAGAGGGGGGCUCAUCUGCCUCAGCAUCCCCCAGGAGCCAUGGCCACAGGAGUGUGCGCGCCGGUGCCACCUCACACAAUCCCAGCUGCAUGGGACAAGGCACAAGGCUGUCCCCUUGGCUCCGUCACUUCUGUAUUCCUGCCUUGCUGGUGCUGCCGUGGCUUCUGAGUCUCUGAAUGGAUUUGUGACCAUUGAUGCUUGCAGGCAUCACACCAUAGCACAGCACUCAUCCAGCAAAGCGCUGUUCUUACAGACAAUCGAUGUGCCAUAUGGUAUUAUCACAAUUCAUUUAAAGUAAUGUGACUUUGCAAGCACGGCCUUGGGUAUGCAGGAAAGUGUGGCAAAGUAGGUUUAACAUGGAGAAAUGGAAGUUCUCUCCAGUUAGCUUUAUGAUAAUGAAUGUCAAGGCAUGCUGUUGGAAGCAAGUUUGUGUCUGUAUUCACAGUGUGCAGCCACCUAUUGAUUUUUAUGGUGACAUUGUAGCUGAAAUUUUUCGAGAGGCAUUCAUUUUCUCAUUAAUAUUCAGUUUGAGUAGUGGCUAACAAUAGUUUAGUUUAAGAAAAAUCUAUGUCAGCCAUUAACAGAGCUGCGAGAUACUGAAUGCUAAUUUUUCUCCUUUACAUUAAGAUAUCCUUUCAUACGCUUUCUCUUUCUGGAAGAAACAACAAAAACUUGCAUAUGAGCAAGCUAAAUCUUGAACUGUAAAUGUUAAAUGAUCUUGUUUAGAUGCUAGACAUCUGACACACUGUACAAAUCUGCUACUUAAUUACCCCCUGUGGAUUUGCAAUCUUGCUGCAGUGAAACCACCCUUCUGUGGGACAUUUUUCCUGCCUUUCAUAAUUUAUUGUUUCAAAUUCUCUCCGUUUUACCUAACUUAAGACAUCAAGGCUGGAGGAUAGGAGGUAUGUGCCCCAAAGCAAGGACAUAAUCUUAUCUUCAGUUUAGUCUCCCUUGGUAAUUAGGCUAUUAAUAUUAAAGCACUAUUAGUUAAAAUAAUAAUAAUAAUUUGCAUCCCUAGCUCUCCUGUUUCACUGCGUUUUCCGUAUCUCUACUCUUAAAAGAUUUUCACCUAGAGACCAUAUUUGUGCAAUGAGAUGAGCACAUUAAGGCUAUUGCUGAAGCUAAACAAUAAAAACAAAAUGUGUUCUGUUUUGUUGUUGGGGUUUUUUCAGUACAAAACCCACAAAAAAGAGAGGAAAAAAAAAGCAACAAAAUCCAACCAACCAACCAAAACACAAAUAGAGUCCAAUUCUGAAAUAAAAAGAAGUUGUGACUAACUAAAGAAUCUUCCAGAAAUAAUAAUAAUUAUUACUAACACCAUAUUUUUCCAAAUCUCACUGUGUUCUCAGUGCAUAGGGGGAGGUCACAGAACAGAAAUGGGCAAUUACACUCAAAACAUGACACUGAGUGCCAGUCACUGGCAUCACACAUUGCAGCCCCCUCAUUCCCUAUGGCAAACACAUGGCCUCUCAAUGAAAGAUAUUAACCUAAAAGCAGAAGACAAACAUCA